rnacentral:lncRNA from 13 species
CCUGCUUCCAACGGCUGUUAAUCUCUGGCUUGCCUCACCAACCCUUAUGGACUCAUCAGCUCUUCUAUCAACUAAGUUCUGGGGUACAUAUGAAGAACAUGUAGGAUUGUUGCAUAGACAAAAUCUCACUCUGUCACCCAGACUAGAGUGCAACUGGUACAAUCUCGACUCACUGCAACCUCCGCCUUCCGGGUCCAAGCGAUUCUCCCACCUCAGUUCUUCACUUUUUCGGAAACAACGAUAGCACAUAGCAGCCAGAGUGAAAGGAAUACAGAGCCAGAGUCCAGAUCAGCAUGGUCAUUAACUG